rnacentral:sRNA from 2 species
UAAUUGCUUCGUUAGGUGAGGCUCCUGUGUUGGAGAUACGCUACUGCCCAGAAAUGUCGAGAGACGCCAAUGGGUCAACAGGAACUAUCGAAUAAGGUAGUUUUUAAUGUAGCUGGAAUUUUCCUAUGCCACACAGUGCUAAAACUCAACAUGGAAGAUAUGU